rnacentral:lncRNA from 10 species
CCAAGUAUGGCCUCCCAGUGACCAAGGGCACAGCCACCUCAGUGCUCUGAAGUAUGCAAAACACCAUUUGAAGAUGAGGCAAAAGGUAGUGGUUGAAUGUGUGGGUCCUGCAGUCAGACUGACUGGGUUCAAAUUUAGGAUUCACCACUUUCAAACUCCUGGGCAAAUGACUUGGUUCCACAAUUAGUAUAAUAAAUAUGGAUAAUAAUAUUCAUAGAUAGGAUUGUUGUCAGGGAUAGCUGAGUUAGUCGUGUGAGCCGCAUAGAAUGUGCUGGUACACAGUCAAUGUUGCUUACUGGUAUUAUUUCUCUUCCUUUUUUAAAAAAGCUUUAUUGGCUGACCUGAAUUCCCUGCAUCCUAUUUUGUAGAGCCUUGGAAAGAUGGGCAAAUGCUCUGUGACAAGCCACCAGGGUAGACUGGUACUGAAAAGACCCUACUACACACAGGGGCUCUGUCCCUGGCUGGAAAGUUACAAGUCAGCCUACCUCUCUGUGAUCUGGUUUCCACACCUACUACUCUUUAUCCCAUGAGGAGCUUCUGGAAACUAAAAUAGCAGCUGCCCAGGUAGAAGAGUGUUGACCAAAGGACACAUCACCAGCACAGACUGUUAAUCAUGUGACUAGAGAAAACUCUCAUGGUGGCAUUCAAAUUUCCAUAUCCUUCUUCUAUGGAAAUUUCUGAGAGACCCAGAAAAGAAGCGUAACGACGAGGGAAAGUGAUUCCUGCAGACCUGAACAUUCCAGACUUACCAGGUGAUCCAGCUGUCUGUCAGCGGGAAGAGGCUGAGGCGCCCCCUUCUGGUGCAUCUGAAUAGUAAGAAACCCUGUGUAGAAAGAAACCCUGUAGCAAUUGGGCACCUUCUCCGUGAUCUGUCUGCUUCCAAUACCAAAAAUUGUUGCUUUUUAAAUGACAUCCAUCCUAAGCUUAAAAAAGACGCAUAUUAUUUGUAUAAAAUGUUGAAGACGCAGAACAAAAAAUGUAAAUCACAUGUAAUCAUCCCUUCCAGAAAUAAUCGUUAUUAAAAUUUCUGUGUAUGUGUAAAAAAAAAAAUUGCAAUCCUACUGUAAUAUAAUCCUGUAUACUGAUAUUUUUCACCUAUCACUGUAUGUUGAGCAUUUUCAAUAGUCAAAUUAUUUCUUGAAAAUAUUAAUGACUGGGGAGUAACCUUUCAAAUAGGUGUGUCUUUAUUUUUAAACCAGUCCACAAUUAUUGUAUAUUGAAGUCAUUUCCCAAAUUUUGUAAGUAUAAGUAUUGCAUCCAUCCUUAUAUGUAUUUAAAUGCAUCUCUUAUUAUUUCCUUGAGAUAAGUUCCUAGAAGUGGAAUCACUGGAUUUAAAAAUGUGGACAUAUUUAUGCCAGACGCGGUGGGUCAUGCCUGUAAUCCCAGCACUUUGGGAGACUGAAGCAGGUGGAUCACUUGAGGUCAGGAGUUCAAGACCAGCCUGGCCAACAUAGUGAAACCCCAUCUCUACUAAAAUUACAAAAAUUAGCCGGGUGUGGUAGUGCACGCCUGUAAUCCCAGCUACUCAGGAGGCUGAGGCAUAAGAAUCACUUGAACUCAGGAGGCGGAGGUUGCAGUGAGCCAAGAUGGCACCACUGCGCUCCAGUCUGGGCGACAGAGUAAGACUUCAUCUCAAAAAUAAAUAAAUAAAAUUAAAAUUAAAUAAGAUAAAUAAAAAAUAAAAAUGUGGACAUAUUUAAAUCUUCAUAUAUAUUACCAAAUGCCCUCCUGAAAGUUUUUACCUGUUACAUUCCAACCAAUAGUGUAAGGGCAUGACUCUUUCCCUGUGUUUUGGGAUGGAUGUUAUCAAAGUUCUCUCCCACCCAGGCCAAGUAUGGUAUAUGCUUUGAUUUAAUUUGAAUUUUUAAAUUAUUAUUUAAAAUGGACAUUUUGUUGUCCAUUUGAACAACUUUCUUUUGAGUCACUGUUCAUGUUCUUUGCCCAUUGUUUCUCUUUUAUUAGUAAGAACCCUAUUGUCAUUUUUAUAUUUUAAAUAAAAUUUCAUUGUAUAUACAUUUAUAUUAUCUAUAGUAAAGUAUAUUUUAUUAUUAAUGAGAACUUU